rnacentral:rRNA from 1 species
AGUAGCGGUGAAAUGCGUAGAUAUCUGGAGGAAUACCAAAGGCGAAGGCAGUCCCCUGGUCCGAUACUGACACUGAGGUACGAAAGCGUGGGGAGCAAACAGGAUUAGAUACCCUGGUAGUCCACGCCCUAAACGAUGUCGAUUAGCCAUUGGAAGGACCCCUUUUCCUUUCAGUGACGUAGCUAACGCGUUAAAUCGACCGCCUGGGAAGUACGACCGCAAGGUUAAAACUCAAAGGAAUUGACGGGGACCUGAACAAGCGGUGAAUGAUGUGGAUUAAUUCGAUGCUACGCGAAGAACCUUACCUACCUUUGACAUGGCCAAAGUUCUACCGAGAGGCGGAAGUACUCGUAAGAGGAUUGGCGCACAGGUGCUGCAUGGUUGUCGUCAGUUCGCGUCGUGAGAUGUUGGGUUCAGUCCCGCAACGAACGCAACCCUUAUCUUUAAUUGCUCCUAUUUUAACAGGCACUUUAAAGAAACUGCCAAUGAUAAGUUGGAGGAAGGUGGGGAUCACGUCAAGUCCGCAUGGCCUUUAUAGGUAGGGCUUCACACGUCAUACAAUGGUUAGAACAAAGAGCUGCAAAUUCGUAAGAAGGAGCCAAUCUCACAAACCUAACCUCAGUUCGAAUUGCGGUCUGCAACUCGAGCGCAUGAAGCCGGAAUCGCUGGUAAUCGUGGAUCAGAAUGCCA